rnacentral:rRNA from 1 species
GUGCGCCAGCCGCUCGCGGUAAUUCCAGCUCCAAUAGCGUAUAUUAAAGUUGUUGUGGUUAAAAAGCUCGUAGUUGAACCUUGGGCCUGGCUGGCCGGUCCGCCUCACCGCGUGCACUGGUCCGGCCGGGCCUUUCCCUCUGUGGAACCCCAUACCCUUCACUGGGCGUGGCGGGGAAACAGGACAUUUACUUUGAAAAAAUUAGAGUGCUCCAGGCAGGCCUAUGCUCGAAUACAUUAGCAUGGAAUAAUAAAAUAGGACGCGCGGUUCUAUUUUGUUGGUUUAUAGGACCGCCGUAAUGAUUAAUAGGGACAGUCGGGGGCAUCAGUAUUCAACUGUCAGAGGUGAAAUUCUUGGAUCAGUUGAAGACUAACUACUGCGAAAGCAUUUGCCAAGGAUGUUUUCAUUAAUCAGGAACGAAAGUUAGGGGAUCGAAGACGAUCAGAUACCGUCGUAGUCUUAACCAUAAACUAUGCCGACUAGGGAUCGGACGGUGUUAUUCAUGACCCGUUCGGCACCUUACGAGAAAUCAAAGUGCUUGGGCUCCAGGGGGAGUAUGGUCGCAAGGCUGAAACUUAAAGAAAUUGACGGAAGGGCACCACCAGGGGUGGAGCCUGCGGCUUAAUUUGACUCAACACGGGGAAACUCACCAGGUCCAGACACAAUAAGGAUUGACAGAUUGAGAGCUCUUUCUUGAUUUUUGUGGGUGUGUGCAUGGCCGUUCUUAGUUGGUGGGGUGACUUGUCUGCUUAAUUGCGAUAACGAACGAGACCUUAACCUGCUUA